rnacentral:pre_miRNA from 1 species
CCCGUCUCCUCUGUAAACUUGAAGGUAGGGAACUCUGUCUUCACUCGUGAGUACCUUCCAACAUGAGCUCUCAGGAGUAAAGACAGAGUUCCCUACCUUCAAUGUGGAU